CCUACGGGUGGCAGCAGUGAGGAAUAUUGGUCAAUGGACGAGAGUCUGAACCAGCCAAGUAGCGUGAAGGAUGACUGCCCUAUGGGUUGUAAACUUCUUUUAUAUGGGAAUAAAAUGUUCCACGUGUGGGAUUUUGUAUGUACCAUAUGAAUAAGGAUCGGCUAACUCCGUGCCAGCAGCCGCGGUAAUACGGAGGAUCCGAGCGUUAUCCGGAUUUAUUGGGUUUAAAGGGUGCGUAGGUGGAUUGUUAAGGCAGUUGUGAAAGUUUGCGGCUCAACCGUAAAAUUGCAGUUGAAACUGGCAGUCUUGAGUACAGUAGAGGUGGGCGGAAGUCGUGGUGUAGCGGUGAAAUGCUUAGAUAUCACGAAGAACUCCGAUUGCGAAGGCAGUUCACUGGACUGCAACUGACACUGAGGCUCGAAAGUGUGGGUAUCAAACAGGAUUAGAUACCCUUGUAGUC
rnacentral:rRNA from 1 species